UAUGUAGGGUGCAAGCGUUAAUCGGAAUUACUGGGCGUAAAGCGUGCGCAGGCGGUUUUGUAAGUUUGUCGUGAAAGCCCCGGGCUCAACCUGGGAAUUGCGAUGAAGACUGCAAGGCUUGAAUCUGGCAGAGGGGGGUAGAAUUCCACGUGUAGCAGUGAAAUGCGUAGAGAUGUGGAGGAACACCGAUGGCGAAGGCAGCCCCCUGGGUCAAGAUUGACGCUCAUGCACGAAAGCGUGGGGAGCAAACAGG
rnacentral:rRNA from 1 species